GGGCUGCUAUUACCGCCGCUGCUGGCACAGAAGUUAGCCGUCCCUUCCUCUUUCGCUACUAUCAAACCAUGGAAUGUUCAACCAUGAUAUUUGUUCGCAAAUGACAGAGGUUUACGGGCCGAAGCCCUUCAUCCCUCACGCGGCGUCGCUCCUUCAGGGUUUCCCCCAUUGAGAAAAAUUCUCGA
rnacentral:rRNA from 1 species